UACGGGGGGGGCAAGCGUUGUUCGGAAUUACUGGGCGUAAAGGGCUCGUAGGUGGCCAACUAAGUCAGACGUGAAAUCCCUCGGCUUAACCGGGGAACUGCGUCUGAUACUGGAUGGCUUGAGAUUGGGAGAGGGAUGCGGAAUUCCAGGUGUAGCGGUGAAAUGCGUAGAUAUCUGGAGGAACACCGGUGGCGAAGGCGGCAUCCUGGACCAACACUGACACUGAGGCGCGAAAGCGUGGGGAGCAAACAGG
rnacentral:rRNA from 1 species